GGUUAAGCAACUAAGCGUACACGGUGGAUGCCCUGGCAGUCAGAGGCGAUGAAGGACGUGCUAAUCUGCGAUAAGCGUCGGUAAGGUGAUAUGAACCGUUAUAACCGGCGAUUUCCGAAUGGGGAAACCCAGUGUGUUUCGACACACUAUCAUUAACUGAAUCCAUAGGUUAAUGAGGCGAACCGGGGGAACUGAAACAUCUAAGUACCCCGAGGAAAAGAAAUCAACCGAGAUUCCCCCAGUAGCGGCGAGCGAACGGGGAGCAGCCCAGAGCCUGAAUCAGUAUGUGUGUUAGUGGAAGCGUCUGGAAAGGCGCGCGAUACAGGGUGACAGCCCCGUACACAAAAAUGCACAUAUUGUGAGCUCGAUGAGUAGGGCGGGGCACGUGGUAUCCUGUCUGAAUAUGGGGGGACCAUCCUCCAAGGCUAAAUACUCCUGACUGACCGAUAGUGAACCAGUACCGUGAGGGAAAGGCGAAAAGAACCCCGGCGAGGGGAGUGAAAAAGAACCUGAAACCGUGUACGUACAAGCAGUGGGAGCACGCUUAGGCGUGUGACUGCGUACCUUUUGUAUAAUGGGUCAGCGACUUAUAUUCUGUAGCAAGGUUAACCGAAUAGGGGAGCCGAAGGGAAACCGAGUCUUAACUGGGCGUUAAGUUGCAGGGUAUAGACCCGAAACCCGGUGAUCUAGCCAUGGGCAGGUUGAAGGUUGGGUAACACUAACUGGAGGACCGAACCGACUAAUGUUGAAAAAUUAGCGGAUGACUUGUGGCUGGGGGUGAAAGGCCAAUCAAACCGGGAGAUAGCUGGUUCUCCCCGAAAGCUAUUUAGGUAGCGCCUCGUGAAUUCAUCUCCGGGGGUAGAGCACUGUUUCGGCAAGGGGGUCAUCCCGACUUACCAACCCGAUGCAAACUGCGAAUACCGGAGAAUGUUAUCACGGGAGACACACGGCGGGUGCUAACGUCCGUCGUGAAGAGGGAAACAACCCAGACCGCCAGCUAAGGUCCCAAAGUCAUGGUUAAGUGGGAAACGAUGUGGGAAGGCCCAGACAGCCAGGAUGUUGGCUUAGAAGCAGCCAUCAUUUAAAGAAAGCGUAAUAGCUCACUGGUCGAGUCGGCCUGCGCGGAAGAUGUAACGGGGCUAAACCAUGCACCGAAGCUGCGGCAGCGACACUAUGUGUUGUUGGGUAGGGGAGCGUUCUGUAAGCCUGUGAAGGUGUGCUGUGAGGCAUGCUGGAGGUAUCAGAAGUGCGAAUGCUGACAUAAGUAACGAUAAAGCGGGUGAAAAGCCCGCUCGCCGGAAGACCAAGGGUUCCUGUCCAACGUUAAUCGGGGCAGGGUGAGUCGACCCCUAAGGCGAGGCCGAAAGGCGUAGUCGAUGGGAAACAGGUUAAUAUUCCUGUACUUGGUGUUACUGCGAAGGGGGGACGGAGAAGGCUAUGUUGGCCGGGCGACGGUUGUCCCGGUUUAAGCGUGUAGGCUGGUUUUCCAGGCAAAUCCGGAAAAUCAAGGCUGAGGCGUGAUGACGAGGCACUACGGUGCUGAAGCAACAAAUGCCCUGCUUCCAGGAAAAGCCUCUAAGCAUCAGGUAACAUCAAAUCGUACCCCAAACCGACACAGGUGGUCAGGUAGAGAAUACCAAGGCGCUUGAGAGAACUCGGGUGAAGGAACUAGGCAAAAUGGUGCCGUAACUUCGGGAGAAGGCACGCUGAUAUGUAGGUGAAGUCCCUCGCGGAUGGAGCUGAAAUCAGUCGAAGAUACCAGCUGGCUGCAACUGUUUAUUAAAAACACAGCACUGUGCAAACACGAAAGUGGACGUAUACGGUGUGACGCCUGCCCGGUGCCGGAAGGUUAAUUGAUGGGGUUAGCCGCAAGGCGAAGCUCUUGAUCGAAGCCCCGGUAAACGGCGGCCGUAACUAUAACGGUCCUAAGGUAGCGAAAUUCCUUGUCGGGUAAGUUCCGACCUGCACGAAUGGCGUAAUGAUGGCCAGGCUGUCUCCACCCGAGACUCAGUGAAAUUGAACUCGCUGUGAAGAUGCAGUGUACCCGCGGCAAGACGGAAAGACCCCGUGAACCUUUACUAUAGCUUGACACUGAACAUUGAGCCUUGAUGUGUAGGAUAGGUGGGAGGCUUUGAAGUGUGGACGCCAGUCUGCAUGGAGCCGACCUUGAAAUACCACCCUUUAAUGUUUGAUGUUCUAACGUUGACCCGUAAUCCGGGUUGCGGACAGUGUCUGGUGGGUAGUUUGACUGGGGCGGUCUCCUCCUAAAGAGUAACGGAGGAGCACGAAGGUUGGCUAAUCCUGGUCGGACAUCAGGAGGUUAGUGCAAUGGCAUAAGCCAGCUUGACUGCGAGCGUGACGGCGCGAGCAGGUGCGAAAGCAGGUCAUAGUGAUCCGGUGGUUCUGAAUGGAAGGGCCAUCGCUCAACGGAUAAAAGGUACUCCGGGGAUAACAGGCUGAUACCGCCCAAGAGUUCAUAUCGACGGCGGUGUUUGGCACCUCGAUGUCGGCUCAUCACAUCCUGGGGCUGAAGUAGGUCCCAAGGGUAUGGCUGUUCGCCAUUUAAAGUGGUACGCGAGCUGGGUUUAGAACGUCGUGAGACAGUUCGGUCCCUAUCUGCCGUGGGCGCUGGAGAACUGAGGGGGGCUGCUCCUAGUACGAGAGGACCGGAGUGGACGCAUCACUGGUGUUCGGGUUGUCAUGCCAAUGGCACUGCCCGGUAGCUAAAUGCGGAAGAGAUAAGUGCUGAAAGCAUCUAAGCACGAAACUUGCCCCGAGAUGAGUUCUCCCUGACUCCUUGAGAGUCCUGAAGGAACGUUGAAGACGACGACGUUGAUAGGCCGGGUGUGUAAGCGCAGCGAUGCGUUGAGCUAACCGGUACUAAUGAACCGUGAGGCUUAACCUU
rnacentral:rRNA from 1 species